rnacentral:rRNA from 1 species
GUAGGUGGCAAGCGUUGUCCGGAAUUAUUGGGCGUAAAGCGCGCGCAGGCGGUCCUUUAAGUCUGAUGUGAAAGCCCACGGCUCAACCGUGGAGGGUCAUUGGAAACUGGGGGACUUGAGUACAGAAGAGGAAAGCGGAAUUCCAAGUGUCGCGGUGAAAUGCGUAGAGAUUUGGAGGAACACCAGUGGCGAAGGCGGCUUUCUGGUCUGUAACUGACGCUGAGGCGCGAAAGCGUGGGGAGCAAACAGGAUUAGAUACCCUGGUAGUCCACGCCGUAAACGAUGAGUGCUAAGUGUUAGGGGGUUUCCCGCCCCCUUAGUGCUGCAGCUAACGCAUUAAGCACUCCGCCUGGGGAGUACGGCCGCAAGGCUG